UACAGAGGGUGCAAGCGUUAAUCGGAAUUACUGGGCGUAAAGCGUGCGUAGACGGUUAUGUAAGUCAGAUGUGAAAGCCCCGGGCUUAACCUGGGAAUGGCAUUUGAGACUGCAUAGCUAGGGUGCGGAAGAGGGAAGCGGAAUUUCCGGUGUAGCGGUGAAAUGUGUAGAUAUCGGAAGGAACACCAGUGGCGAAAGCGGCUUCCUGGUCCAGCACCGACGUUCAGGCACGAAAGCGUGGGGAGCAAACAGG
rnacentral:rRNA from 1 species